AGUAGGUCAUAUCCAUGCUUGUUUUUGUCUCACUUUUUUCACUUUCUUUUGUCUUUACUUUUUUUCCUUUUUUCCAGAGGUUUUGUUCUGCCCACUUUCGUAGUUUUUCUCUCUGUAUUCAGGCAAACAUAGCUGUUCUUUUUCAUGUAAAAAAAAAGUGUUAAUGAAAGU
rnacentral:ribozyme from 1 species